rnacentral:lncRNA from 1 species
CAGCAUUCAUCAAAGAUGUUAACAUUACACUUUUAAGAAAAAUGAAGAAAUUGGAAUCAAAAUGAAACAUAACUCAUUGGAAUGGAGGUUGAAAUAAAUUAUGGUGGAAAGUUUUUAGAUUCUUAAAAAUAUCUUUAAGGCUUUAUGAGUAUGGAAGACCAAGUUUCCAACUCAUAAUUUACUCCCAAAUUACCUUUGUGGAUUGGUUGUGUAUUUGUCCAUUUUCUGUUGCCAAUAAUACAGUGACACAGAUUGGUAAGCUACAAAGAAAAUAGGUUUAUUUUGGCUUGUGGUUCUGAUCCAAGGCUGAGGGCCACAUCUGAAUGUGGUCUUCUUGCUGGCAGAGUCUUAAGGUUGUGCAGAGCAUCACAUGGCACAAGAGUGAAAGGCCAUGUGUCUGUUGCUGUUCUGGUCUUCCUCCUCCUCUGCUGUGUUAUGGGUUGGCUUUGCUACGAUGGCUUGGUUCCCAUCUGAUGGUGCUCUUGGGAGAUGAUGGGAACUUUAAGAGGUGGACUGAGCUGGAAGAGGUGAGUCGCUGGGUUUUACUGCUGAAGGGUAUAUGUUGUCCCUGGGCCUUCUUCUCUUGCUCUCUCCUUCCAGUCUCUAUGAGGUAAGCACUUCCGGUCUCUAUGACAUGAGCAGCUUUGUUCCACCACACCCUUCCAGGCCCAGAAACAAUAGAGCCAGUCAACUAAGGGCUGAAAUUUUGGAAUCCAUGAACCAAAUACAUCUUUCCAUCUUUAAAUCACUCACCAUCUCAGGAAACUUCAAAAGCAGGCAAAAGCAAGUGUCAUUGGAUAGGUUCCUUAUUAAAGUCACAUGGAAAGGACAAGAUUCCACUGAGCCAAUAGCUAUGAUUCUGGUAGUGAUAAUGAAAGUCAUCCUACACAAUAACCCUUCUCUGUUUCGCCUUCCUCACAUCAGCCAGGAAGGUUUUCAAAGGUACCCAAGAUAAACUGAAGACUCUAUAAUUACUACAGUUGUCCUUUCCCUGUUAUAAAAAACAGGUUCUCCUGCUGCUGACUUUGCAUAUCAGGACUCUCUUCUGCCCAAUCUUUCUGCAUUUUGUAAAACAAAGGCUGGUGGUCUUGCAAUUACAUUUUCCAGGCCCUUGAGUGCUCUGGGAUGUGAGUAAUCAGGCCCUGCUGAUGUAAACGCACCCAGAUUUCUGAAGGGCUCUUCAAUCACUCCUUCCCUGUUUGCCUUUGCGCCUCCAACAGGAUAGCACUUAAUCUGUUUUAGUUUCCCUAUCACUGGAGUGGUGGCCCGCCUGGAAUCUCAGCACUGGGGAGGUGGAGGCAGAAGGAUCACCUCCAAUUUGAGGCCAGCUUGGGCCUCCAUAGUUCAAGGCUAGCCUGACCUACAUAGCAAGACCCUUGUUUGUCUAAGCCCAAAUGUUCUGUUUUAGUAACACGAAGGUAUCUGGAAUACCUGUAUUUUGAUUCUUAUAAGGGCUCACAGCUAAGAUUGUACCUUAAGUCUCAGAAAACACUUUGGACUUAGACUUUUUUUUGGGGGGUGGGGGGGAAACAUUGUAAUAAUAAAGGAUUAGACGAUUUCAUACUUUUGGACUUAGACUUUUUGUUUGGAUUUUUUUUUGGUACCGGGGAUUGAACUCAGGAUGUUGCACUUGUAAGGCAGGCACGGUGCCACUGAGCUAAACGCCCUGGACUUAGACUUUUGAAUACUGGAAAUGUCAGAACUGUGAGGACUCCUGGCGAUGGACUGAAUGCAUUUUUCACUGUGAGGUGGGCAUGAGCCUUUGGGGGCCAUGGGGAAAAUAUUAUAGUUUGGAUGUUGAAUGUCUCCGACAGCCUGUGUUGAAGGCAUGGUCCCCAGCUGGCAGUGCUUUGGGGAGAUGGUGGAAGCUCCAAGCAGUGGGGCCUAGCUGGAAGAGGUGGGGCACCCAGGUGUGCUGCGGAAGGGUGCAUUCUGUCCCAGUAGGCUUCCUCUCUCCUCUGGCCUCCAUGAGGUCAGCAGUUUUGUUUCACCGCACCCUUUUACCAUAAUGGUCUGCCUCCCCGCAGUCCCAGAAACAACAGAGCCAGUUGACCCAAAACUGAAUCCUCUGAAGCCAUGAACCAAAUAUACCUUUCCUCCUUUAAACAGUUUUCAGCUAUUUUGUCAUAGUAACAAAAAAGUGACUAUUUAAUCACGGAAACACCACCCUGAUGACCCUGUCGAAUCUUAAUCAAUUUCCAGAGGUGAUUUUACCUUUAUAGUCACACUCAGAUGAAGAUUCUACCCUCUUAAUAAAACUCCCAAACUGAGUUUUGGUUGGGUAGGGAUAACCACAAUCAAAUCGUAGCAGGUUAUUAUGCAAACACCCACUUUACAGGAUAGAAGAGGGAAUCAGCACAUAUAUAAACAAAGACGCUUUAACAAUUCAAAUCAAUCUUCAAUUUUUUAAACCUGUGUCAUUGGCAGAGACUGAAAAAUAUCAGUUGUCAGUGUUGUCAAGGGAAGGUUAAAAUGGGCCUAGCCACACACAGUGGUAGUGGAUGCCACCGAGAUUCCACUGAAGAAUGGAGCCACCAACCUCCUCAGUCUCCAGGAGUGCUGGCUGCUGGUGGCAUUAGUGGAGUCCCUUCCUGGGAACCAUCACUAACUAAAGAAAGUUACACUCACUUCCAACGGGCCAUGUGGCCUAAGCCUUUGGCCUUGAUUCUGGGGAGUAGAAGGUGCCUUCCUCAGCCCUGUUGGAAUUGCAUUGCAUUUCAGCUUCUCCUCUUCCCAUCCUGCACUUGGCUCCUUCUCUGUGUCGUGCUGAGAGUCCAUCCCAAUAAACCCUGCACACAAACCACCCUGUGCCUUUUCCUGCCGAGGUGACUGCCACAAAGAAAUGAACAUCUUUCCCCUUCUCAAGUCUACUCAUAUUUUC